UAAAUAAACCAUAUCACCCUGCAGUUUUCACCUGGUUUCUCUCUGAAGCAAAGCAGGGUUGAGCCUGAUCAGUAACUGGAUGGGAAACCUCCUGAGGAAAACUAAGGUUAC
rnacentral:rRNA from 1 species